UCCCCCACGUGGUCUAUGGUUUGGAUACCUGGCUCUCAUCCAGGAGGCUAGGGUUCGAUUCCCGGCGUCGGAA